rnacentral:lncRNA from 1 species
UGGCGGCAGCGGACGGUGGAGGCCGGGUGCAGCCCCGUCGGCUGCGCGCUCUCUGCAGAAAAGGAUUUUCUACGCUCCCCGCCCAUCACUUGGAUCUCGUCUGGGGAGGGGCGGAUUUUCUUUCUGGAAGUACCCUUCUUCUCCACGGUGGAGGAUUUAAGGCUGGGCUCCAAUCGAGGCGGAGGCUGCAGGGCCCGCGGGGCGCCCCCCGCCCGGCGCACGCCUGCCCGGAGCCCGGGAAGGCGCAGCCUUGGGUGGGGGGGCCCGUGCACCCCCGGAGGCGGCAGCGGCGAUAAACCUGCCAGUAAUUUCAGCAAAUGAAACGUGGAACACGUCAAGGCCAGAGGAUGGAAAAGGCUCCAGUUUUGAUAAAAGGAGGCCUGCUUGGCUUGGAAUCCUCUCUCCUGCUGGUUGGGAGAUGCAAAGAUGUUUCCAGAGAGGGGCUGAUGAAUUGAGGGGAAAGAAAUGAGCCCAGUAUGAGUCCCCUUUCAGGGCUGAGUGUGUAUAAAACCAAACAACUUGGAACCGCUCCAAGAGAGGGGAUUAAAGCAACAUGUUAUUCUGAGUGAUUGCUUAAUUUGUUGAGCUGUGGCUGGAUCUGUAAUGAAAUACAGCCCUUGUAACUGAUAACCUCCUGCUGCAAUUGAACUUCUACAAUUAAGGAAUAUUUUCUGAGUUUCUCUGGAACGGCUCUGAAUUUUUAGCCUCUGUGGUAGGGUGCUUCUGAACAUUUGUUUUCCAGGCAAUUUUUUUUCUUGAGUAUUAGGCUGAUGUUAAUAAGUAAGCAGCAUUUUACUGAGUGUUUUGUGGGAACCAGGAACUUUAUAUACAUUAUAUCUAAUCCUGACACUAAUCCUGACAAUAUCCCAUGAAAUAACCCCUAUUAUUCCCUAUUUUACGGAUGUGAAGCCACGAGACUUUCGGUCAUUUUCUAGAGUGGUGCUGUCCAAGACAGUAGCUAUGAUGGCUCCUUGUGGCUAUUGAUGUGUAAAUUAGUUAAAAUUAAAUAAAUUUUAACAUUUACUCCCUAGGUUGCACUAACAAUGAGUUCAAGUGCCCAGCAGCCCUGUGUGGCUGAUGGCUACCACAUUUGACAGUGUAGAUAUAGACCAUUUGAAGGUUGCAUGAGUGCUAUUGAUCAGCACUGACUCAGAUUUCCUUUUUUUUUUUUUUUUUUUUUGAGAUGGAGACUCGCUCUGUUGUCCAGGUUGGAGUGCAAUGGUGCAAUCUCGGCUCACUGCAACCUCCGCCUCCUGGGUUCAAGUGAUUCUUCUGCCCCAGCCUCCUGAGUAGCUGGGACUACAGGUACAUGCCGCCAUGCCCAGCUAAUUUUUGUAUUUUUAAUAGAGAUGGGGUUUCACUGGCCAGGCUGGUCUCGAACUCCUGACCUAAGCGGAUCCACCUGCCUCAGCUUCUCAAAGUGCUGGGAUUACAGGCAUGAGCCACCACGCCCGGCCAGGUUCAGAUUUCAUAGCUAGAACCUGGCAGUGCCAGAAUUCAAGCCGAAGCUAAUGGGCAUUGAAGGCAGAGUUCAUCUGCCAGCCGUGUUGCUUCUUUUUCUUCCCCUGCUGAGAAGCAAGGAACAGAGCAGUGAUUCUAACCCCUGGCUACACAUUAGAAUUCCCAGCAAUUCUUUUUUUUUUUUUUUGAGAUGGAGUCUCGCUCUGUCACCCAGGCUGGAGUGCAGUGGUGUGAUCUUGGCUCACUGCAACCUCUGCCUCCCAAGUUCAAGCAAUUCUCCUGUCUCAGCCUUCCAAGUAGCUGGGAUUAUAGGCACACGCCACAACACCCAGCUAAUUUUUGUAUCUUUAGUGGAGAUGGGAUUUUGCCAUGUUGGCCAGGCUGGUCUUGAACUCCUGACAUCAGGUGAUCCACCCUCCUCAACCUCCCAAAGUGUUGGGAUUACAGGCAUGAGCCACUGCACCCGGCCUACCUGCAAUUCUUUUUUUUUUGAGACGGAGUCCCGAUGUCUCCCAGGCUGGAGUGCAGUGGCGCGAUCUCAGCUCACUGCAAGCUCUACAUCCCGGGUUCAUGUCAUUCUCCUGCCUCAGCCUCCCGAGUAGCUGGGACUACAGGCGCCCAUCACCACGCCCAGCUAAUUUUUUGUAUUUUUAGUAGAGACAGGGUUUCACUGUGUUAGCCAGGAUGGUCUCAAUCUCCUGACCUUGUGAUCCUACCACCUCAGCUUCCCAAAGUGCUGGGAUUACAGGCGUGAGCCACUGCGCCCGGCCUGUGAGCCGCCGCGCCUGGCCCCUGCAAUUCUUUAAAAAAAAUGAUGGUAGGGUCCCAGGCCCAGAUAAUCUGACUUCACUGUGAUUAAGCUGGGUGGCGACAGGCAUCAGAGGUUUUUCUACUUCCCCAUGUGAUGCACUGUGCAGCCAGUAUGUAGAGCAGCUAGGUGUGAGGACCCACACAGAGGAUGCUGGAAGCAGCUGGUUCAUCUGCCAGGAGAAUGCAGUAUCUUGUGACCAAGAAGUGGGCUUCUCCCAGGGCCACUUCUAAACCACCUCAUCAGAGAGCUCAGGUUCAUAUCCAAGGGAAAAAACUUAAGUGCUUUCUCACACGCUUCCAGCUUGAUGAGAAUCACAGUAGGGAGCUUUGCUUUUCCAAACAGGCUUUGUCACAUGAUCAUGGAAGAAAGGAGAUGCCCACGUAAGAUCACAGAGACAAGGCGAAAAACCUGUAGCCCCAAAUUGGAAUUGGAAGCAUCGAUAUGAAUUCGUGCUAUAUUUUUGUCUUACGAAGUAAAGCAGCUGUUUGCUAGCUCUGUCCACCAUAAAGUUUAGAAAUAAUGAGCCAUCCAGUAGCAGUGAACACCCCAGCACCCAGGUUAUGGUGUCUAAAUGCUACUUCCAACUAGAAACGAGGGCAUGGAGAAAUGACCAAUUCCAGGUCUGAGGCCAGAAAAAAAAUUCAAGAUGAGCCUGGAACAUCUCUGGUCAUUCCUUGCUUCCUUGAUUAGCCAGGUGUGGUGGUGGGGCACCUGUAGUCCCAGCU